AGAACAGACACGGGGGUGAUGGAGCAGAAUCCGCACAGUGGUGGCCCUUUGGUGUAUCCGUCUCAGAGGUCACCCCUUUCUUGUCUGGUAGCUGCCUGAGAACAAGGACCUGUGUCUCUUUACUGGGGGACCCUCAGAACCUACAGUCAGCCGGGGCACUUACCUCUGUGCUCCGUGAAGGCAAAGAUCGUAUCUUUGGCAACUUCCUAAGCCAGAUAACCAGCACAACCCCACGGUAAAUAAGUUUCUGACUUCCAUGGGUUGUUCUUGAUGUCCUCGUCCUCGGAGUUCGUGUGCUGAAGAUUAAGUCAGACAUCACAUCUCAGUGAAACGUUUUACUACCACUCUUGCAUGCUGAGUGCCACUCAGAGAGCUGGCUGUCAUCACGUGCUCUCCAAAUUUUACCCUGAACUGCCUGGAUAUAUCCAAAUCAUCUAAUUUAGUGUUAAGAGCAUGUGCUCCGAUAGACCUGUGUUCAAAGUUCAUCUACUGUUUGGUAAGUUUGAUCUGGAGCAAGUGAUUUUAUUUCCCCAAGAUUUGGUUUUCACAUCUGCUGAAAACAAUGAGUAUCUCUUAACGUUGUGAGGAUUAAAUGAUAUCGUCUACAUAGUAAUAAUAAUGAGAUGAUGAUGACGACUACUGGCUUGGGAUACGAGAUGUUUAGAAGUGCCAGGUAUUUUAUAUACAUUAUCUUUGAGUUUUGCAAUAACCCUGUGAAAUGUGUAUUUUAAUUCCCAAUGUAUAUAUGGGGAAAUGAAGGCUAAAGAACUUAUAUGUCCGGCACUAGAUCAAAUGACCAGCUGAAGCCUGGCCGUUGUUGGGAUUUGAACCUGUAUUGUCCUGGCUGCAAGGCCCAUCCAUGUUCUUUGCUCGGUUGUUAUAAAGCAUUCUUUGAAAACGAUGGAUUCCUUCAAAGGGUCCUGGGCAACAAUUUCAUCUGAAAUCUUCUAUCGAUUAACUUAAAAUCCUUGACAUUCCCUGAAAACCAAGUCCAUGUCAUAGUCGUGGGAGAAUUCAGUUUGCAAAGAGGU